rnacentral:lncRNA from 1 species
AUUUUUAUCUGAUAUGAUCAGAUGACAUCACUCCACCAAUUAAAAUUUUGUUAGAAUUAAUUGAAAUUUUUUGAUUGGUCGAAUGAUGUGGCACUGCAUGGCGCAGCAGGAUCUAUUUAAACCCUGUUUGUGCCUAGUUGUGUGAUUCUACUCAAUACCCAGCAAAAAUGAGAUUCUCCUCCACUUCUCUAUGUCCCCUAUACUCCUCUCUCUCCUCUCUUCACAUCCAAGGAGUUGGGCAUCCAUCUGGUGCUUGUCCAAGGCGUGGUGGCUUCCUGAUCAGAAGGCUGCAGGGAUUUAUCGAGAAGCUGCUGCUCCAACUAAAGA